GCUUAUACUCGACCGUCAGCGGCACGUGCGAUCGCGCGAGCGAUCACGAAGCCCUGACGAGUAGGAGGGUCGCGGCGGUGAGCGCAGAAGGGCUGGCCGCGAGGCCGUCUGGAGCCGCCGUCGGUGCAGAUCUUGGUGGUAGUAGCAAAUACUCCAGCGAGGCCCUGGAGGACUGACGUGGAGAAGGGUUUCGUGUGAACAGCCGUUGCACACGAGUCAGUCGAUCCUAAGCCCUAGGCGAAAGCCGAUGUCGAUGCGGUGUAGCUUUAUUUGGUAAAGAGAUAAAAUUACUUAAUUUACGCACACACCCGUCGGGCGAAAGGGAAUC
rnacentral:rRNA from 1 species